rnacentral:tRNA from 1 species
GCCCUAGUAGCUCAGCGAC